GAAAAGGCAGACAAUGGACAGUUUGAUGAUAUGGAUGAUUGAAAACAUUGUUUUGAACGCAGCUGCUGCACUAUAUCAUCGCAUUUGUUGUUGCCGAGUUCUGAAAACUUUCAUUAUAUACAAUGUAAAUAUAUCAAUAUGUUGCAUUCAUAGGAAGCUUGAAAGACUGUAUGCAUGCAUAUAUAAUUACAGAAUGUCCCACAUAAAGCUUUAACAAUUCGUUAGUCGUUUUCUGUCGCGUUUGCAUGGAAAAAUAAAUGUGUUAAUAGUACUGAUAUUGUUACUUCUAUAUAAACUUUGCAAAAAUAUAGUUUCACAUAGACAUAGUCUUGUAUUUUUCAUUCUAACAUACUAACAAUACUAAUAUUUAAAAAAUCGAG